rnacentral:lncRNA from 1 species
GUUGGGAGGCACCUUGCCACUCAGCAGGCCCACAUUCAGGACGUGGACACCUUCUGAUGGGUGGGCUGUGCUGGGAGAGAGCAGCAGCCUGAAAGGGACUCCACAGACCCGCAAGGAAAAGAGAGGAAAGCGCUGCCUUCUGCCUCAAGGUUAAGAAGCCCUUUCACUGCUGAUGAAAACAUUUGAAGAACUUGGCCCAGAGCCUGGAGCUGGGAGAACCAGAGGCAUGGACCAAGGAGACAAUGGGAAGGAGCCAGUCGAGGAGGCAGAAGUUGAAAACACAGGAGACAAGGAGAGCGAAGCAGGAGAUCAGGUUCUCUGUCGGGAGAGAAGCAAGAAAGUGGAGCUGCAGGAGUUUCUGUAAGUGUCCAGGAGGGGCUGCGCAUCCUCCCAGGGCCGUCCGUGCUUGUGUCGUCUAAAAGCACAAGAGCUGAAAACUGCACGCUGGCGAUUCAACUCGCUGUGUCAAAUACCACACAAGGCCAACCCUGAACAAGACCAGAGAAACCUCCUGGAACAGGAAGCAGAGCGGUGGAAAAUGCCCACACUUUAGAGCCAGAUGGACGUGGGUCCAGUCUUGGCUCUUCUCCCACUCCCCGGGUGAUCUUGGGCAAUUUACUUCUCUUCCUUGAGUCUCAGUUGUCCCUUCUUCACUUUGACAACUUGGAACAGGGAACAGAGGGAGGCAAGGUCUGGAUUAAUUCUGAAGGAGAAGCUACCAGCCGCCCCUCUGGAGAGAUAGGAGAGUCAUGUUGGGGCAAGCCUUUUUCUUAUGAAGAGCUGCUGUUUGCCACCUUUUACUUAAAACUGUGUAUCUAUUUUGCAAACAGGCCCCUUGCCCGAGGUAUCAGAUCACUGUCUUUGUCAAAUAAAGGAAUAACAGGACUUUUUGCUUGACUUAGCUAGGGGGACCCUCACCAAGACCCCUUGAUAGGCAAUGUUCUGAAGGGGUGGGGGGGAGGAAAGGAACUAAGACCCCUACCCCUGGCUCCCUGAGAUUUAAACUUACAAAAACUUGUUGGGGUGUCAUUGACUAAAGUCUGAUGGCAAGAAAAGGACACCCCAGGCCACAAAAGGUUAUAGGGAAUCUGGGAUGGUGACCUCCACACAGGCGCAUAGAGGCAAUCCAGAGGCAGCCACCCUGGCACAGUGUCAACUCUGGGAAUGCGUAUGUGUAUUGAUUAAAAGCAUUGCCAACCUAAAGCCUGGCAUGUGGCACUACUGUGGGCUGGAAAGGACCUGUACCAGCAAGGGCAUCCCCAACAGACAGGGCAAGUGCGCGCUGACCUGAGCAAAAACAGUUUCCAACAGCGACACCUCGUGGCGGCAACUGAAACAACAGUGCUGGUGAGUAGGCUUGAGACGCAAUAUCGACCUCCUUGGACUAAGAAUUUACGCUUCUUGGAAAGUUUAAAGGGACAGCUCAAGAGGUAGAUGACUAGACUUCCUGCUAAUAAAGGUAGUGUUAUUAAAGGAGUU